rnacentral:rRNA from 1 species
AUAGAAGUUAUAUAAAAGAUUAUUAAUAUGUUUAAAUAUUAUCAUUUUUAUUUAUGAUAAUCUAUUAUUAUAAUAGUAUUUAAUAAAAUAAGUAUUACUGCAAAGAAAUAUUAAUUUAAAGUUUAAUUAAUACCUUUUGCAUAAUGGUUUAAUAAUAACUUAAAAGAAUUUUUUAUACCGAAAUUAGAAGAUCUAAUUUUUAUUUAUUCAUGGAGUAAAGUUAUAUAAUGUUUCAAAAUUAUAUUGAAAAUAUAAAUUAGGAGUGAAAGGCUUAUCAAUUCUAAAGAUAUCUGUAAUAAUUUUAAAUGUAUUUAGUACAAAAUAAUUUUUGAAUAAAAAAAUGUUAAGAUUUUUUUAUAAUAGAAUAUUUAAUUAAAUUUCAUGUGGAUUAAUCUUCUAACAUUAUACUAUAAUUAUAAUUUAUGAUUUAUUGUAUCUAAUUUGUAAAAUUAUCUAUAAUGUAAUAUAAAAAUUAAAUUAAUAAUGUUAAAAUUAGUAUAUAUAUAUAAAUUUAUUAAAGGAACUCGGCUAAUUAAUAUUCAUCUGUUUAUCAAAAACAUAGCCUUAUGAAAAUUAUAUAAGGUGAAACCUGCCCAUUGAUAAAAAAUUUAAAGGCCGCAGUACCUUGACUGUGCUAAGGUAGCAUAAUAAAUUGACUUUUAAUUGAGGCCUUGAAUGAAUGGAUAAAUGAAUAAUUUCUGUCUCAAAUAAAUUUAAUAAAAAUUACUUAAAAGGUGAAAAUUCCUUUAAGUUUAUUUAAUAGACGAGAAGACCCUAGGAGUUUAAAAUUUUGUUGGGGCGACAGUAUAGCAUAAUUAUUAACCUAUAUAGAUUUAAUAAUAUAAAACGAAUAAUUUUAAUAAUAAAUAAACUACCUUAGGGA